GACGGGACCGCACAAGCGUGGAUGAUGUGGUUAAUUCGAUGCAACGCGAAAACUUACCACCUUUGACAUGUACGGAAUCCUUUAGAGAUAGAGGAGUGCUCGAAAGAGAGCCGUAACACAGGUGCUGCAUGGCUGUCGUCAGCUCGUGUCGUGAGAUGUUGGGUUAAGUCCCGCAACGAGCGCAACCCUUGUCAUUAGUUGCUACAUUCAGUUGGGCACUCUAAUGAGACUGCCGGUGACAAACCGGAGGAAGGUGGGGAUGACGUCAAGUCCUCAUGGCCCUUAUAGGUGGGGCUACACACGUCAUACAAUGGAUGGUACAAAGGGUCGCCAACCCGCGAGGGGGAGCCAAUCCCAUAAAGCCAUUCGUAGUCCGGAUCGCAGUCUGCAACUCGACUGCGUGAAGUCGGAAUCGCUAGUAAUCGUGGAUCAGAAUGUCACGGUGAAUACGUUCCCGGGUCUU
rnacentral:rRNA from 1 species